CUGAGAGCAGCAGCACAGGAGGCUGCCUGUCAAUGUCCCAGCCAGGAGCUGCCUGCAAAUGCUUCUGGCUCCGUUGAGACGGCUGAACUUGAGCCCAGCCCAGCAAUCAAGCACAUUAGCCCAGUCCUUCCAGCCCCGAACUAAAAGGUUCUGGUCCCUGCACAAGUAAGAAUUCUAAUGCAAUCUGAAAAUACACACUGACCUUAGGUGAUGCAGCCUGUCUCCUGAGAAGAUUUGGGGGAAAGGAAUGGAACAAGGAGAUUUAAAUAGCAGAUAAUUACAAACAUGUUGUUUUUUGGCUUAGAAGGAGUGUUCCAUUGCAAUGGGGGAGGCUGUCACCACCUGGACCCUGCUCUCUAGCUAUACCCAGUGAAAUGGGCUACAGUAGCAAUAUUUUUGGAGUUCCCAGAAUGCUCUGCCUUCCCCUCUUGCUGUGCUUCAGUGGGAACCUCUAUGGCCCAGGAGCACUGUUCCUUGUCUGUAUCUGCCCAAGGAGAGGCCAGGGAUCAGGACCUGCCAAAGUCUCUCCUUCCCUUCCCCUCAACUGGGAGGCCUGGUGACCUGGGUGAAAGUAUCUCAUCACAAUACUUGCUCUCUGGAGGCUGCAAGAGAGGUGUCGAUCUUUACCUAGAUCCCCAAGGUCAAUGGAACACAUGGACGGAAUACUUUAAGAACUGUUUCCCCACCCCAUGACCCACAGUGGAGACAUCCUGCCUCAGUGGGCUAACCUAAAAGACAGCAGGUCUGAAACAGACGGAGAAAGAUGCCUGGUAAUUGUAUCUGGCCACCUGGAGCCAGUCACGCUUGUAGCCCCUGAACUUUAGAGACUAUAAAAUGUUUUUUUUUCUUUCUCUUUAACUAUUUUGGGUUUAUUUUCUAUUAUUUGCAAUGAAAAUAAAUGAAUGGUUUUCGAAAGCACUGUCUUUUCCAUUUUCAGUGGUGCUUUUGCAUGAGCUCUUCCUGGUGCCCGUAGUUUGGGUCCUUGUCCACCAGUUCUGGCCAGGUCAAGUGUCCUCGCCUCUGAGAAGCCUUCUGUCCAUCCUGUCUCCACAGACAGCUAGGAGGUCACAAUGUGGCAUUCCCAAAGCACUGUGAGGUCACAUUGUGCAGUAAUCCCUGGUGGGUACAGAUACCUCCCUGAUCUGGUUUAAGUGUAAAGGUUCAUGUGCUGGAAGUCUGGUCUUCAGGUGGCCAUGUGGAAGACUGUAGGGGAAGCCUAGUAGAAGAUGGUUUUGUCAUUGGGGUUGGCACUGUGAUUCUCAUGUCCCCAUGAUUUCAUUGCGAUCAGGUCACCAUAAAGAAAGAGAAUGAUCCCUGCAUUGCUCUGGCUUCCUGUCUCCCCUGACACUUCUCCCUCUUGCUCAUGUUCCUACAAUGAUGCUGUCAGUCAUGUUGUGAUCUAACUCUGAAGCUCACUUCAAGACCCAGAUGCUGGCACCAUGCUCCUGAAUCUACAGAACUGUGAGCUAAAUAAACUUUCCUUUAUAAAGU